rnacentral:rRNA from 1 species
AGAGUUUGAUCAUGGCUCAGAUUGAACGCUGGCGGCAGGCCUAACACAUGCAAGUCGAACGGUAACAGGAAGCAGCUUGCUGCUUCGCUGACGAGUGGCGGACGGGUGAGUAAUGUCUGGGAAGCUGCCUGAUGGAGGGGGAUAACUACUGGAAACGGUAGCUAAUACCGCAUAAUGUCGCAAGACCAAAGAGGGGGACCUUCGGGCCUCUUGCCAUCGGAUGUGCCCAGAUGGGAUUAGCUUGUUGGUGGGGUAACGGCUCACCAAGGCGACGAUCCCUAGCUGGUCUGAGAGGAUGACCAGCCACACUGGAACUGAGACACGGUCCAGACUCCUACGGGAGGCAGCAGUGGGGAAUAUUGCACAAUGGGCGCAAGCCUGAUGCAGCCAUGCCGCGUGUAUGAAGAAGGCCUUCGGGUUGUAAAGUACUUUCAGCGGGGAGGAAGGGAGUAAAGUUAAUACCUUUGCUCAUUGACGUUACCCGCAGAAGAAGCACCGGCUAACUCCGUGCCAGCAGCCGCGGUAAUACGGAGGGUGCAAGCGUUAAUCGGAAUUACUGGGCGUAAAGCGCACGCAGGCGGUUUGUUAAGUCAGAUGUGAAAUCCCCGGGCUCAACCUGGGAACUGCAUCUGAUACUGGCAAGCUUGAGUCUCGUAGAGGGGGGUAGAAUUCCAGGCGUAGCGGUGAAAUGCGUAGAGAUCUGGAGGAAUACCGGUGGCGAAGGCGGCCCCCUGGACGAAGACUGACGCUCAGGUGCGAAAGCGUGGGGAGCAAACAGGAUUAGAUACCCUGGUAGUCCACGCCGUAAACGAUGUCGACUUGGAGGUUGUGCCCUUGAGGCGUGGCUUCCGGAGCUAACGCGUUAAGUCGACCGCCUGGGGAGUACGGCCGCAAGGUUAAAACUCAAAUGAAUUGACGGGGGCCCGCACAAGCGGUGGAGCAUGUGGUUUAAUUCGAUGCAACGCGAAGAACCUUACCUGGUCUUGACAUCCACGGAAGUUUUCAGAGAUGAGAAUGUGCCUUCGGGAACCGUGAGACAGGUGCUGCAUGGCUGUCGUCAGCUCGUGUUGUGAAAUGUUGGGUUAAGUCCCGCAACGAGCGCAACCCUUAUCCUUUGUUGCCAGCGGUCCGGCCGGGAACUCAAAGGAGACUGCCAGUGAUAAACUGGAGGAAGGUGGGGAUGACGUCAAGUCAUCAUGGCCCUUACGACCAGGGCUACACACGUGCUACAAUGGCGCAUACAAAGAGAAGCGACCUCGCGAGAGCAAGCGGACCUCAUAAAGUGCGUCGUAGUCCGGAUUGGAGUCUGCAACUCGACUCCAUGAAGUCGGAAUCGCUAGUAAUCGUGGAUCAGAAUGCCACGGUGAAUACGUUCCCGGGCCUUGCACACACCGCCCGUCACACCAUGGGAGUGGGUUGCAAAAGAAGUAGGUAGCUUAACCUUCGGGAGGGCGCUUACCACUUUGUGAUUCAUGACUGGGGUGAAGUCGUAACAAGGUAACCGUAGGGGAACCUGCGGUUG